AUUGAACGCUGGCGGCAGGCUUAACACAUGCAAGUCGAGCGAGCGGCGGACGGGUGAGUCAUGUCUGGGAAACUGCCUGAUGUAGGGGGAUAACUACUGGCAACGGUAGCUAAUCCCGCAUCCCAUCAGAUGUGUCCAUAUGGGCUUAGCUAGUAGGUGGGGUAAUGGCUCACCUAGGCGACGAUCCCUAGCUGGUCGGAGAUGAUGACCGUCGGCACUGGAAGUAAGACACGGUCCAUACUCCUACGGGAGUGAGCAGUGGGGAAUAUUGGACAAUGGGCGCGAGCAUGAUGCAGCCAUGCCGCGUGUGUGAAGAAGGCCUUCGGGUUGUAAAGCACUUUCAGCGAGGAGGCGUUACUCGCAGAAGAAGGACCGGCUAACUCCGUGCCAGCAGCCGCGGUAAUAC
rnacentral:rRNA from 1 species